CGGGACGGGUGAGUAAUGUCUGGGAAACUGCCUGAUGGAGGGGGAUAACUACUGGAAACGGUAGCUAAUACCGCAUAACGUCGCAAGACCAAAGAGGGGGACCUUAGGGCCUCCUGCCAUCGGAUGUGCCCAGAUGGGAUUAGCUAGUAGGUGGGGUAACGGCUCACCUAGGCGACGAUCCCUAGCUGGUCUGAGAGGAUGACCAGCCACACUGGAACUGAGACACGGUCCAG
rnacentral:rRNA from 1 species